ACGGAAGGGAAGUUAGUAAAAUUCUCUGAGCUGCAGAGUGUGGGGCUGGUCUUCCUGUCCAUAAAACCUCAUACCCAGCAACUUCCUAUGCUUCCAGGGAGGUGGAGAGAGUCACAAAUAACAUGUCUGGAGAGCUGGGUCUGGUCCUGAGUCUAUCUGUGAACACACCUGGGGCAAAGCUAUAUUUCUGGACUGUAACAUUCUCUUGGCAGGUCCUGGACCACCUUCCAGAUGACUGAGGCCCUGGUGGGCCAUGAGCUUCCCUCAAACCUGCACAUUUGAGGUAGGUGAGAGCCAGUUCCUCAGUCUCUAGGCUGAGAAUCCCAAGCCCCACUGACCACCUGCAGCCUCAACCUGGCAGAUUCAGGAAGUGGAGCAGAGGUUGCAAGAGAUCUGCUCACAGGGUGUUAAGGUUGUGGUGAGCCAAGCCUUGUCUCACUGGAGGCAGCUGCCACCAGUGCCCCAACCUCAACCCAAGUGCUUGGCUACAGUGCACAUGACCUUUCCCUACCUCAGAGUCUUCAAAUGACUCAUCACCCUCCCUUUUUUUGAUGUUUUUUUCAGACUCAGUACCAUUCUCUGGGGCUCUGUGUCCUCACCUGCCAGCCAUAUUUUCAUGGAUGCAGCACUCAUGGAACAGCAGAACAAGAUGUAGAACUCUCAGCUCCUCCAGCCCCACAUCUGCCUGGAUGCUGCCCUGCUCCCACCUUGAUGAUAAUGGACUGAACUUCUAAACCUGUAAGCCAGAU
rnacentral:lncRNA from 1 species